UACUCGAGUGGCGAACGGGUGAGUAACACGUGGGUGAUCUGCCCUGCACUCUGGGAUAAGCCUGGGAAACUGGGUCUAAUACCGGAUAUGACCAACUGUCGCAUGGUGGUUGGUGGAAAGCUUUUGCGGUGUGGGAUGGGCCCGCGGCCUAUCAGCUUGUUGGUGGGGUAAUGGCCUACCAAGGCGACGACGGGUAGCCGACCUGAGAGGGUGAUCGGCCACACUGGGACUGAGACACGGCCCAGACUCCUACGGGAGGCAGCAGUGGGGAAUAUUGCACAAUGGGCGCAAGCCUGAUGCAGCGACGCCGCGUGAGGGAUGACGGCCUUCGGGUUGUAAACCUCUUUCACCAGGGACGAAGCGUGAGUGACGGUACCUGGAGAAGAAGCACCGGCCAACUACGUGCCAGCAGCCGCGGUAAUACGUAGGGUGCGAGCGUUGUCCGGAAUUACUGGGCGUAAAGAGCUCGUAGGCGGUUUGUCGCGUCGUCUGUGAAAUUCUGCAACUCAAUUGCAGGCGUGCAGGCGAUACGGGCAGACUUGAGUACUACAGGGGAGACUGGAAUUCCUGGUGUAGCGGUGAAAUGCGCAGAUAUCAGGAGGAACACCGGUGGCGAAGGCGGGUCUCUGGGUAGUAACUGACGCUGAGGAGCGAAAGCGUGGGUAGCGAACAGGAUUAGAUACCCUGGUAGUCCACGCCGUAAACGGUGGGUACUAGGUGUGGGUUCCUUUUCACGGGAUCCGUGCCGUAGCU
rnacentral:rRNA from 1 species